rnacentral:rRNA from 1 species
AUUGAACGCUGGCGGCAGGCCUAACACAUGCAAGUCGAACGAGUGGCGGACGGGUGAGUAAUGUCUGGGAAACUGCCUGAUGGAGGGGGAUAACUACUGGAAACGGUAGCUAAUACCGCCUACCAUCGGAUGUGCCCAUAUGGGAUUAGCGAUUAGGUGGGGUAACGGCUCACCUAGGCGACGAGCCCUCGCUGGUCUGAGAGGAUGACCAGUCACACUGGAACUGGGACACGGUCCCGACUCCGACGGGAGGCAGCAGUGGGGAAUAUUGCAAAAUGGGCGCAAGCCUGAUGCAGCCAUGCCGCGUGUAUGAAGAAGGCCUUCGGGUUGUAAAGUACUUUCAGCGGGGAGGCGUUACCCGCAGAAGAAGCACCGGCUAACUCCGUGCCAGCAGCCGCGGUAAUUC